AUAGCUUCUCAGAUCAAGUGCAGUAUCUGUUCUUAUCUGUUUAAUAUAUGAAAAAUCCUCUAUUCAAGGACAUUAUAUUAAAUGGAUUUUUGGAGCUGGAAGAUGGAAUAGGAGUUUGCUCCAUCCACUCAGCACAUUGACUAGGUAGGUAUUGCAGUACUUCAGGGAACAGUGCCAAAAAA